rnacentral:rRNA from 1 species
AUGGCGAGGGCCCUCGACGGCUGCUACUCCGCCAAAGACGUCGCCUACAGCUGUGGAUACUGUGGCUAUGCACUGAAUUUGAGCUCCUCCACACGGAACACGGCCAACAUUGGAUCAAAGUACGGGAAGCAGAUCAGGAAAGGUGUCGUCUCAUUCUUCGCGAUCGACGAGAGCCGGUUCACGCAAACCGACGAGGUGAGCUGCACGCCAUACUUCCGCUCGAGUCGUUCCUGGGGCUUCUUCAGAAAGAGAACACGAUUGCUCUGCCGCAAGUGCAGUGGCCAUAUCGGUAACGCUUAUGACGACAAGGACUCUGCCUUGUAUGAUACCUUAGAUGACACACUCGUCAGCAGCAUGUCUAGUCGAAAGAAAUAUGUUAUCAAGAUCAAUGCACUACAGCCCUCAUCCGACGACUCCGGUGUUCCAUUCUCUCAAUGA